rnacentral:rRNA from 1 species
AUUGAACGCUGGCGGCAUGCUUUACACAUGCAAGUCGAACGGCAGCGCGGGCUUCGGCCUGGCGGCGAGUGGCGAACGGGUGAGUAAUAUAUCGGAACGUACCCAAGAGUGGGGAUAACGUAGCGAAAGUUACGCUAAUACCGCAUACGAUCUAAGGAUGAAAGCAGGGGACCGCAAGGCCUUGUGCUCCUGGAGCGGCCGAUAUCUGAUUAGCUAGUUGGUGAGGUAAAGGCUCACCAAGGCAACGAUCAGUAGCUGGUCUGAGAGGACGACCAGCCACACUGGAACUGAGACACGGUCCAGACUCCUACGGGAGGCAGCAGUGGGGAAUUUUGGACAAUGGGGGCAACCCUGAUCCAGCAAUGCCGCGUGAGUGAAGAAGGCCUUCGGGUUGUAAAGCUCUUUUGUCAGGGAAGAAAAGGCUGUGGCUAAUAUCCACAGCUGCUGACGGUACCUGAAGAAUAAGCACCGGCUAACUACGUGCCAGCCGCCGCAGUAACAC